GGGGGAAAAAACAAAACAAAACAAAACAAAACAAAAAAGAAGCUGCUCAUUUAGGGCAUCUGGAUGCGCCUCAACUGCACCCACUAGUGGAUGGCGCCUUCAGAAACUGCAUAGUUUGCCUAACAGUUGAACCGCCCCUGCGGUUCAACUUAGGAUCCUUGACAGUAAGCACCUCUGGUUUGUUUGAAUUCAGCUUCAGUUUGUUUUCCAAUCCAUUAUUAGAUAACACAUGAUUCUACUUGCAUCAUUUUACUGAAGCAAUGUGCUAGUUAGCAUUGAGAUAUGGGAAUAAGACUGGCAAAACUUGCUCCAGGUUCCUGCUUACACAAUACACAUGAAAUUCAGACAUAGUUAACACCUGAAUAUUUAUAGCAGUAGUGUCCAAGCUCAGGGUACCUCUGUUUGCCAGAAGGAACCCGAUAUAAAAUCCAGAGCCCAGAGGAAUGUUUGGAUAUUGGCCUGAGACAUGACAUUAACUUUCCCCUCUUCCUGCCCUGGGUGGGUGGAUGGCACUGCAUUAUAAUUCUCUCCACACACCUUAAAAAGAUAAAAUGUUAAGGAACAUCCAUUACCUGGAUCUCUUUGCUUUCCCAUACCUUUGCAUACACCUUAGGAGAACUGGAUUUGAAUGCUGCAAUUCUGUAUGCAUUAAUUGAGAAAGAUCUCCACCUACAGUUAGGUGGAUCUAUAAUUGGCUAAGCAAACGAACCCAAAGGGUGCUCACCAAUGUGUCGUCUUCAUCUUGGAAAGAAGUCACGAGUGGAGUGCCGCAGGGUUCUGCACCCUUUGGGUUCGUUCGCUUAGCCAAUUACAGAUCCACCUAACCGUAGUUUUGUCUAGCCCACAUUUUACUAGUUUGUUUGCCAGAAGGUCGUGGGGGACUUUGUCGAAGGCCUUACUGAAAUCUAGAUAUGCUACAUCCACGGCAUUCCCUGUAUCGACCCAACUCGUAACUCUAUCGAAAAAAGAGAUCAGAUUAGUCUGGCAUGACUUGUUUUUGGUAAAUCCGUGUUGACUAUUAGCAAUGACCGCAUUUGUUUCUAAGUGUUUGCAGACCACUUCCUUAAUGAUCUUUUCCAGAAUCUUGCCUGGUAUUGAUGUGAGGCUGACCGGACGGUAAUUGUUUGGGUCGUUCUUUUUUCCCUUCUUGAAGAUAGGGACCACAUUCGCCCUCCUCCAAUCUGCUGGGACUUCUCCUGUUCUCCAAGAACUCUCGAAGAUGAUUGCCAGUGGUUCUGAAAUAACUUCCGCUAGUCCUUCAAUACGA
rnacentral:lncRNA from 1 species